GUUGCUGGAGGUAUCAGAAGUGCGAAUGCUGACAUAAGUAACGAUAAAGCGGGUGAAAAGCCCGCUCGCCGGAAGACCAAGGGUUCCUGUCCAACGUUAAUCGGGGCAGGGUGAGUCGACCCCUAAGGCGAGGCCGAAAGGCGUAGUCGAUGGGAAACAGGUUAAUAUUCCUGUACUUGGUGUUACUGCGAAGGGGGGACGGAGAAGGCUAUGUUGGCCGGGCGACGGUUGUCCCGGUUUAAGCGUGUAGGCUGGUUUUCCAGGCAAAUCCGGAAAAUCAAGGCUGAGGCGUGAUGACGAGGCACUACGGUGCUGAAGUGACAAAUGCCCUGCUUCCAGGAAAAGCCUCUAAGCAUCAGGUAACAUCAAAUCGUACCCCAAACCGACACAGGUGGUCAGGUAGAGAAUACCAAGGCGCUUGAGAGAACUCGGGUGAAGGAACUAGGCAAAAUGGUGCCGUAACUUCGGGAGAAGGCACGCUGAUAUGUAGGUGAAGCGACUUGCUCGUGGAGCUGAAAUCAGUCGAAGAUACCAGCUGGCUGCAACUGUUUAUUAAAAACACAGCACUGUGCAAACACGAAAGUGGACGUAUACGGUGUGACGCCUGCCCGGUGCCGGAAGGUUAAUUGAUGGGGUUAGCGGUAACGCGAAGCUCUUGAUCGAAGCCCCGGUAAACGGCGGCCGUAACUAUAACGGUCCUAAGGUAGCGAAAUUCCUUGUCGGGUAAGUUCCGACCUGCACGAAUGGCGUAAUGAUGGCCAGGCUGUCUCCACCCGAGACUCAGUGAAAUUGAACUCGCUGUGAAGAUGCAGUGUACCCGCGGCAAGACGGAAAGACCCCGUGAACCUUUACUAUAGCUUGACACUGAACAUUGAGCCUUGAUGUGUAGGAUAGGUGGGAGGCUUUGAAGUGUGGACGCCAGUCUGCAUGGAGCCGACCUUGAAAUACCACCCUUUAAUGUUUGAUGUUCUAACGUUGGCCCGUAAUCCGGGUUGCGGACAGUGUCUGGUGGGUAGUUUGACUGGGGCGGUCUCCUCCUAAAGAGUAACGGAGGAGCACGAAGGUUGGCUAAUCCUGGUCGGACAUCAGGAGGUUAGUGCAAUGGCAUAAGCCAGCUUGACUGCGAGCGUGACGGCGCGAGCAGGUGCGAAAGCAGGUCAUAGUGAUCCGGUGGUUCUGAAUGGAAGGGCCAUCGCUCAACGGAUAAAAGGUACUCCGGGGAUAACAGGCUGAUACCGCCCAAGAGUUCAUAUCGACGGCGGUGUUUGGCACCUCGAUGUCGGCUCAUCACAUCCUGGGGCUGAAGUAGGUCCCAAGGGUAUGGCUGUUCGCCAUUUAAAGUGGUACGCGAGCUGGGUUUAGAACGUCGUGAGACAGUUCGGUCCCUAUCUGCCGUGGGCGCUGGAGAACUGAGGGGGGCUGCUCCUAGUACGAGAGGACCGGAGUGGACGCAUCACUGGUGUUCGGGUUGUCAUGCCAAUGGCACUGCCCGGUAGCUAAAUGCGGAAGAGAUAAGUGCUGAAAGCAUCUAAGCACGAAACUUGCCCCGAGAUGAGUUCUCCCUGACUCCUUGAGAGUCCUGAAGGAACGUUGAAGACGACGACGUUGAUAGGCCGGGUGUGUAAGCGCAGCGAUGCGUUGAGCUAACCGGUACUAAUGAACCGUGAGGCUUAACCUUACAACGCCGAAG
rnacentral:rRNA from 1 species